GAGAAAUCGCACGCCCAAGUCCUGCAAGUCUUCAGGGGGCUUGACCCUCUGCGGGUUCGCAAAGAACACGUACUUCUGCGGCCUAACUACCUUGGACAACCAGAAAGAAUAUUGGUCAAGCAGUUUUGAUGGUGAAAAUCAUGGCUAUAUGUCUAUCAGCUAAUCCAGCAUCAAAACCAGCACAAACCAACCUGAACCAGAAUGGAAAUCUCUGGCAGUUCAAGCUGUUUUUUUCACCAGCUCUUGGAUCGUAUUUCCAAACUUGAACAGGAAUGUUGGCAUGAACGUACGGACCCUCCUGAGAAAAUAGAGAUCGACUGUGACACUGUGGCUGUGUCUCAUAAUCUUGUGAGCUGCCUGCCUACACAGCAUUUUUGGCCAUCAUGGGUGUGUGUGAUGCCCAAACAAGCAGUCUAGAUGUCUCCGGUUGUAGGUUUUGUCAUCGAUACUUGCAGUAAAUACGCUGCGACAUCAGCGGUUAGACAGUGAAC